GACGAACGCUGGCGGCGUGCUUAACACAUGCAAGUCGAACGGAAAGACCCUGCUUUUGUGUGGUGCUCGAGUGGCGAACGGGUGAGUAACACGUGAGUAACCUGCCCUUGACUUUGUGAUAACUUCACGAAACUGGGGCUAAUACCGGAUAGGAGCUCCUGCUGCAUGGUGGGGGAUGGAAAGUUUCGGCGGUUGGGGCUGGACUCGCGGCUUAUCAGCUUGUUGGUGGGGUAGUUGCUUACCAAGGCUUUGACGGGUAGCCGGCCUGGGAGGGUGACCGGCCACAUUGGGACUGAGAGACGGCGCAGACGGCUACGGGAGGCAGCAGGGGGGAAUCUUGCAGAAUGGGCGGAAGCCAGAUGCAGAAACGUCGCGUGCGGGAUGCCGGCUUACGGGUUGUAAACAGCUUUGGAAGGUGACGAAGAGUGAGUGACGGUAAUGGGUAAAGAAGCACCGGCUAACUACGUG
rnacentral:rRNA from 1 species